rnacentral:lncRNA from 9 species
CUCUCUUAGCUUCCCAGGUUCGUUCGGCACUGGCUCAGCACCUGAGCCAACCCUCUGCCCAGUGACGCUAUAGUUGCUGUCCUGUAUUUACAUGCUGUUCUUUCUCACAUUCCUGCCUCCUCGUUAUUCAAACCACUGCUCUCUCUCCCCACCCUAUUUGUGCAAAUCUCGCCAAUCCUUUAAGUCUCAAAUCAAAUCCCACUUCCUCAUUCAAGAUUUUCCUGAGUCUUCUAGCUUUGAAAUUCACCUUUCCUCCUCUGAUGCUGUUGUGUUCCGUUGCAAUUCAUAAUUUACUUCCUCUUCAUGUGGUCAUGUUUUAUCUUCCCAACUAGAAAGGCAACUUCUUAAAGGUGAAAGCCAACUCAGCAACGUCUCUUUAAGGAGAUAAUAUGAAGAGGCAUCAGCUUUUGUUCUGAUACCAUCAACAAUGAUCCAGAUGAAAAGGAAUGUGGUUCAACCUCCAUAUUUCUCAUAAAGAGAAAACUGAGGUCCAGAGAAGUGAAAUGGCUUAUCCAGAGGCAGUCAGGAGCCUUGUUUGCUGCAUGUGUGCCAGAACCUCGGAGCAGGAAACAUGCCAUCAGAAUGAAUGUGUCUGCCUGGCAAAGGCAGGGCAGAGCGGAAUCGAUUACAGAGAGGAAGGCGGGCAGUUGAAUGGGAUGCUGCCUAAAGAGAACCCAGCAGAUCCGUUCACUCUGCGAGCCAGUCUUGACCUUCUGCGCCUUAGGACCAUCUCCCUAGGACCACCAGCAUGAAGUUCAUGUGUCAAGAAGAAGUCGUCUGUGUUCUCCAAAAGCAACUUCAUGACCAGUUUUGAAAUAAUUCAAAACAUUUGCUCUCUUCAGAUCAGCUUCCUUCAAGCCAAUGUUUAUUUAAUUCAUAUGUCUGAAGUUUUCUGGCUCUUGAAAGUCAACAUUCUUGGUCUCCUCCCCUGUCCCAGCAUGUUUAAGUUGAGAUGGUGUUCUUUCUUGUUUCCUUAAGAGCUCUUGCCAAGUCACUGGGCAUGUCUCUCUUGUUCAUCUUCUGAAAAUCUUCAAUAAAUACAUGUCCUGAUUCUCCCAAUUUGUCAAAAAUAAAAACUUCCUUUCAUUACAUGCAUAUUGAAUUAUUUUCAUUCACAGAGGUAUCUUAUAUCGGUGCCUUACCAAUGACUGGAAAGACCAGGCUUCACAGACCUUCAACAAUGUCUUCCAUCCUUCUUCAACCCUCAGUGCCACAUCAAGAGAUGAUUAACUAAGGGCAAAGAUGGGGGGUGAAGGAUAGAUUAGGAGUGUGACACUAACAGACACACUUCACUAUAUGUAAAAGAGAGAAAACAACAAGGACUUACUGUAUAGCACAGGGAACUCUAUUCAAUAUCUUAUAAUAACAC